UUUAUUCUGUGUCUGCACCCUCUAGAAUGUCAACUCCACGAGGCAGGUGUUUGUGUCUGUUCUGUUUCACUUGUGUAUGCUCAGCCUCUGAAACGGUACCUGGAAAUGGUGGGUGCUCCAAUAAUUGAAGGAACCUCAACUAGAUACCACUCAAUCAACUGGCCACAAUAAAAAAAUUUUUUAAAAGCCUAACAGGGCUUCCCUGAUGGUGCAGUGGUUGAGAGUCCGCCUGCCAAUGCAGGGGACACGGGUUUGUACCCCGGUCCAGGAAGAUCCCACAUGCCGCGGAGCAGUUAGGCCCGUGAGCCAUGGCCGCUGAGCCUGUGCAUCCGGAGCCUGUGCUCCGCAACAGGAGAGGCCACAACAGUGAGAGGCCCGCGUACCGCAUAAAAAAAAACCAAAACAUGGAAGAGGCAUUUUGGCAGGAAAGCUUUCGAAAACUUUCAAAUCAUCUUUUGUUUGCUACCUGACCUACCUAGCUGAGCCCAGCACAAAGAAAAGGUAUCCUGAAGUGGCCCUGUAACUACUCUUCUUUUCAUCCGUUCUUUGUACCUUCAUCCACCUCUAAAACUGUACCUGGCAAUCUGCUAGCAUCUGUCAUUUGUCUCUAAGAGAGCUGGUGUAGAGGGAAGGACUGUGCAUCCUUUAGAUACAUACACAUCACAGUAACUUGUUCAUCUGAUGAGAUGCUUAUAGACAUUUGUUAAAUUUAUUUUUUUAAUUGAAAUAUAGUUGAUGUACAAUAUUCUAUGUUAUAGAUGUACAAUAUAGUGAUUCACAGUUACAUUUCUUUUUAAUCAAGUUAUUGAAUAUUUCUGUAUAACACUCUUAGCCUAAUAAAAUGUUAAAUUGAGAAUAUAAAAA